rnacentral:rRNA from 1 species
UGCCAGACUCCUACGGGAGGCAGCAGUGAGGAAUAUUGGUCAAUGGGCGGAAGCCUGAACCAGCCAAGUCGCGUGAGGGAAGAAGGCCCUGCGGGUCGCAGACCUCUUUGGACGGGGAGCAAGGCCGCCGACGUGUCGGCGGAAGGAGAGUACCCGUAGAACAAGCAUCGGCUAACUACGUGCCAGCAGCCGCGGUAAUACGUAGGGGGCAAGCGUUAUCCGGAUUUACUGGGUGUAAAGGGAGCGCAGGCGGUAUGGCAAGUCAGAUGUGAAAACCCAGGGCCCAACCCUGGGACUGCAUUUGAAACUGCCAUACUGGAGUGCCGGAGAGGUAAGUGGAAUUCCUAGUGUAGCGGUGAAAUGCGUAGAUAUUAGGAGGAACACCAGUGGCGAAGGCGGCUUACUGGACGGUAACUGACGCUGAGGCUCGAAAGCGUGGGGAGCAAACAGGAUUAGAUACCCGGGUAGU